GGGGAAUGUCUUUAAUUUUAAC
rnacentral:snRNA from 1 species